GUCUUUGAACUUGUGCAGAGCUCCUCUGCUGGAUAGAUAAGAGAAUUGGGGUACUUGGUUUCGCCCAUUCUCUUAAGAAUUGAGAAGGCAAAGGUUACUUGACUUCGCCCGCCUCCUCGAGGUUGUACUUCAUGCAUCGAGCUGGUUACUGGCCUUCGCCUGCUCUUUGCUCACACUUCUGAAGCACUUGAAGUGUUUGCACUCCUUGUGUUGAGUUAGCUACUAUGAUUCACCUUCUCAAUGCCAUCGAACUUCUGGAAUGCGGGAAGUUUUCACCCCAACUUGGAGUAAUUCUCUAAUAGAUGAGGUCGCCUCUGGGAUUGUACCGUCUUCUCCAUCAACC
rnacentral:lncRNA from 1 species